UACGGGGGGGAGCAAGCGUUGUUCGGAUUUACUGGGCGUAAAGGGCGCGUAGGCGGCCUCUGCAAGUCGACUGUGAAAUCUCCGGGCUUAACCCGGAAAGGUCAGCCGAUACUGCAGGGCUAGAGUGCAGAAGGGGCAACUGGAAUUCUCGGUGUAGCGGUGAAAUGCGUAGAUAUCGAGAGGAACACCUGCGGCGAAGGCGGGUUGCUGGGCUGACACUGACGCUGAAGCGCGAAAGCUAGGGGAGCGAACGGG
rnacentral:rRNA from 1 species